rnacentral:rRNA from 1 species
CACGUAGGGGGCAAGCGUUGUCCGGAUUUAUUGGGCGUAAAGAGCUCGUAGGUGGCUCGGUAAGUCGGGUGUGAAAUUUCGAGGCUCAACCUCGAGACGCCACCUGAUACUGCUGUGGCUAGAGUCCGGUAGGGGAGACUGGAAUUCCUGGUGUAGCGGUGAAAUGCGCAGAUAUCAGGAGGAACACCGAUGGCGAAGGCAGGUCUCUGGGCCGAUACUGACGCUGAGGAGCGAAAGCGUGGGGAGCGAACGGG